rnacentral:rRNA from 1 species
GAUGAACGCUGGCGGCGUGCCUAAUACAUGCAAGUCGAGCGAACAGAUGAGGAGCUUGCUCCUCUGACGUUAGCGGCGGACGGGUGAGUAACACGUGGAUAACCUACCUAUAAGACUGGGAUAACUUCGGGAAACCGGAGCUAAUACCGGAUAAUAUAUUGAACCGCAUGGUUCAAUAGUGAAAGACGGUUUUGCUGUCACUUAUAGAUGGAUCCGCGCCGCAUUAGCUAGUUGGUAAGGUAACGGCUUACCAAGGCAACGAUGCGUAGCCGACCUGAGAGGGUGAUCGGCCACACUGGAACUGAGACACGGUCCAGACUCCUACGGGAGGCAGCAGUAGGGAAUCUUCCGCAAUGGGCGAAAGCCUGACGGAGCAACGCCGCGCGAGUGAUGAAGGUCUUCGGAUCGUAAAACUCUGUUAUUAGGGAAGAACAAAUGUGUAAGUAACUAUGCACGUCUUGACGGUACCUAAUCGGAAAGCCACGGCUAACUACGUG